rnacentral:ribozyme from 14 species
UCUCUGAAUCCUCAUAAACAGAGUGUUAUAAAAGCAGAGAGAGAGAAGAGCACAUCGCAAUCAAAAUCACCAACGUCGUGGGAAAAGACACCGCUUUGAGAUAUACUGUAGAUAUACUGCGAAGAGAAAGAGCGAGUUCUUUUUGUUGUUUACGGAGUAAUAAGAGAGAGAAAAAAAGAGAGACCCAAAAUUCAUUCAUUCUUC